rnacentral:sRNA from 1 species
UAGAGGCGGCGGAGACAGGAACGGAGCCAAGGCGGCGGAGGCAGGAACGGAGCCAA